UGCCUUCAGGCAGGGUGGUCCUGGGGAUGU
rnacentral:piRNA from 1 species